CUCAAUAGGAAUCAUGAAAGUUCUCAAUUUUUUGGAAGGAAGAAGAAAUUGCUUGGCCACAGAACAAAAAAUAUUGCAUUAAUGAAAAAUAGAAAGCCAGAGAGUACAAGAACUCUGUAGUUGAAAUGCAAUGACGUUGUGACUCAUCCUGUACUAAUGCCAACAAAGCAUCUAUCUAUGUGGUAGGAUUUAAAGAGUAUUAAGGAUCCCUACUGCACCCCAAUUCUUUGUAUAUAUUUUGCAUUUACUUAUUUGUCUAUAUAUAGUUUUCUUCCCAAAGGAUAUCCUUAAGGAUAGGGAUCAUUUUGUACUUUUUUUGUCUCUUUGUUGUUGUUGUUGAGUUGUUUCAGGAGCAUCUGACUCUUUGGAACACCACUUGGGAUUUUCUCAGCAAAGAUAGUGGAGUGGCUUGCUAUCUUUUCUUCUACUCAUUUUAUAGAGGAGGAAACUGAGGCAAACCAGGUUAAUAGACUUACCCAGGUCACACAGGUAGUGAGGGUCAGAUUUGAACUUAUGAAGGUGAGUUUUCCUGACUCUAGGUCCAACCACAAGGCCACCUAACUGCAUUAAAAAAACAAACAACUCUACCACCUAGUGUAAUCCCUUGAACAUAGUUCUUAUGGAGUUCAAAAUGGUUUCCUGCCUUAAAUCUUGAAGUCAUCUACACUAGUUUUUCCUUUGAGUCGAAGAAUAGUUUCCAAAGGGCCAUGGUUAAAAAGUAACUCUUUCACCUAGGAGGAAAACUGUUAAAAUAUGGACUGCAUCCAAACAUGGCACAUUAGGAAGGGGACACAGAACCUAUUAAUUUUGUUGACAUCGAGUGCAAAUGCUGGAGUCAGGAAGAUCUGAGAUAAAAUUUGGUCUCAUACACUUACUAGAUGUGUGACCCUAGGCUCUCUCCAGAGUGCUGAAGAAGAUAGUUUGUCAACAUGUUCAUCAGGCAAAUGACUGAAACUGCAAAUUUUACAACCUGGAGAUGAGCAAUGCUUUGCUGCUUCCCCAAAGGGAUGUACCUUGUACCCCUUCAGAUAACGGUAUCCAUGAGAUGGUCAACUGUUGCUAUUGUUUAAUGAUAAAUAAUGGAUUAAGCAUGAAAGGAAUAAUGAUGACCUCCGAGUGUCGAUGAUGCAUCUUCCUUUCCUGGGGCCAUUACUAAACAUAGCAUUUAUGGGAUCUGAUGUUUAUAGCCUUUUACAAUAAGACUUCUGGUAGGUGCCCUGACUCCCAAUCACUGUUUUAAAUGCAAUUUGUAUUCUUGUCUUAAAAAGUACCCACUAGUUUGAUUCUAAUUUCAUGCAGCAAAACUGAGAAGAGUAUACAGAAAUUUAAGUCAAAACCACCGAAAUGAAUACCUGCAAUGGCAUGAGAUCUGGUGAUGUAAAGUUACCCCACUAUGCAUAGACCGAAUAAAGAAAUUCAUGUUUUCUUAAAACCA
rnacentral:lncRNA from 1 species